rnacentral:lncRNA from 1 species
GUAUUACAAACUGAGUAGCACAUAGCUAGCUUUAUUCAAUAAUAACAGUGGAAAUGUAGCCUAACAAAUGAUGAGUCCCGUCAAUGCCCACUGGGGAAAAUGUUGAGUGAAGACUCGCGACCCUACUGUAUCUCACUGAUCACCUGAAUAUCCUGCAACAUGAUAAGUUGCAGCCACAAAGGGUCAAUACAUUGAAUGUAUUGGCAAAUUACACAUAAUGAUAAGGCAAACCUACAUCUACCUGCAAAGUAUGACAAACAAAACACUCAAGUUUGGUUUCGCGUAAAACUACCUUCACCUACCUCCAUGACAUAGGCAAGGUGCAAACAACACAGAUGAUAAAGACCUUCAAGAUGUCUCAAGUGCGCUCAGCCCUGGCGCAUUCUCAAGGGACAAUAGAGCGCUCAGCCAGUGACGCAUUCACAUGAGAAAAAGCCCCGACAACCCAAGUGCGCUCAGUCAUGGCGCAUUCUCUAGGGACAAUAGAGCGCUCAGCCAGUGACGCAUUCACCGGAGAAAAAGUCCCGAGCCUACAGCUAUAAAGACUCGCCACUUCCAUGCACCACUCGACACAUACCCACGUCUACCAUAGCAAAUCCAAGCAUACAAUUAAACAAUGCAAACAGGACACGCACAUGGCGGCACGCAAUAUAAGAGGCAUACCAAGCAUAUAACAUAUCAUAACAGUGCACAACAGACAUAUAGGAUGAACAUAAUCAAAAGUGCAACUUGCCUUGAACGGUGUUGAAGUACUCUGACGCUUAAUUCCGAUCCGCUUCACACUCCGAACAAUCUAUACGAUUAAUGGAGGCACCAAUAAAUAAACCAUACUCACAUAAAUCACAAUAAAGCCAACAACAAAUAAUUCAAAUAAAAAACUUAAUUAACAGAACAUAUCCGUAGGUAUAUAUUAUCUACAUGCCAGUAGGAUCACAAUGCAAAAAGAAUCAACUGAUUUGGAUCAACGAUUUAAAAGAUAUGGCCUCCGAAAGUUUGAAUUCAAAUUUAAACAAAUUCAAAUUUAAAUAGUUCAAAAUUGUGAAAUUUUGGUUCUGAAGUAUUCUACUGGUCACUAUGAGUACACAGGAAAAAGAAUCAUCUAAAUUGGAGUUAUAGGCUAAAAGAUAUACUUAAAUGAAAUUUUGGUAUGAAAUCUGCCCAAAAUAAAUUGUGUCAAAAUAGAUUUCGUUGAAGAACUGCUGCGGCUGUGGAUGUGCCACGUGGCAGCACGUUAUAGGAUGGAGUGUGUUCGCUGUGAGGGCUAAACGACGGACGGCCGCAACUUAACAGAUAACGGUUCGGAAAUAAAAAAACACAGAUGAUCUAAUCCCGGAUGUUUAAAGAAGAUCGGACGGCUGGGAGACGUGCUCACCUGAGAACAGAGCUGGGCGUUGUCGGAGGUGGAGAAGGACGGCGCCGGCGGCUCGGG